AGACCCGAAACCCGGUGAUCUAGCCAUGGGCAGGUUGAAGGUUGGGUAACACUAACUGGAGGACCGAACCGACUAAUGUUGAAAAAUUAGCGGAUGACCUGUGGCUGGGGGUGAAAGGCCAAUCAAACCGGGAGAUAGCUGGUUCUCCCCGAAAGCUAUUUAGGUAGCGCCUCGUGAAUUCAUCUCCGGGGGUAGAGCACUGUUUCGGCUAGGGGGCCAUCCCGGCUUACCAACCCGAUGCAAACUGCGAAUACCGGAGAAUGUUAUCACGGGAGACACACGGCGGGUGCUAACGUCCGUCGUGAAGAGGGAAACAACCCAGACCGCCAGCUAAGGUCCCAAAGUCAUGGUUAAGUGGGAAACGAUGUGGGAAGGCCCAGACAGCCAGGAUGUUGGCUUAGAAGCAGCCAUCAUUUAAAGAAAGCGUAAUAGCUCACUGGUCGAGUCGGCCUGCGCGGAAGAUGUAACGGGGCUAAACCAUGCACCGAAGCUGCGGCAGCGACACUCAGGUGUUGUUGGGUAGGGGAGCGUUCUGU
rnacentral:rRNA from 3 species